AUGCAUAUAAACUACGUUGCCGAGUAUAUAUGUGUAGCACGUAUGCAUAAUGCGAUUGCAGGGAUAUCGCGUCGCUUCGUGUGGACAUUAUAAAUCAGUCGUACGAUCAAUUUCGCAAAGGGCGAUUAAACUUGGUGAUUUCUUGGUUACGUUGUCGCGUUUUAAUUGCAACAUGAUUUUCUUAGGUUAGGUUGCUGAUUUACGUUACGUACUUGAUUAGUGGAUGAUACAUGUAUAAUGUCAUAAGUGUGUCUCUUGCCGGACUUUAACGUAAUACCUUAUAGAGGUUAUGCGUGAGUAAACUAUUUCUUGUCCAAUUUUGAAAAAAUUAUAUAUCUAGGAAUUUUACCCUUUUCUGCAUGCUUGCUCACUGCCAUAUUACACGGCUCGGAAUGGCAAUGCCUUUUACGACUGUAAUUUUUGUGACUCCGACGUAAAAGAGGCCUCCAUUAAGUUGUUACGAUGGCUUUGGUCGCUGCACUGAUCCUUUGGGCCUGUUAAUUAAAUCGCGAACUCUGGACGCUGCCUUGAGGAAUUCUACGAGGAACUUCACUGGAACUGGAAACCCCAUUUGGUACCUCUGCUCUUCACGUUCCUUAUCCUCCACCUUCUUAUUGGAUACUUCGAAAUCGUCGCCCGCGGAAUUUUGUGUCUUCGUGAUAGCCCUCGGACACCAUUAGUGCAUCGUUCCGAGGAUUAUUCGAAAAGAAUUACUUGUAUUCGGUUCUUGACCGAUUUUUGAAUUUUUACAUUUCUUAUUAUUAAAUGUUGAUAAAUGAAAUUUUUUAAUAUUUUGAAAGACUCAAAAAUUUUAUAUGUAGUACAUAUUUUUGCUUACAUGUUGGUACGACUGCUUGGAUCCUUUUUUUAGGUAUGACCGCAUGAAAAGGCUCUUUCAUGAAAAGGCACGCUUCUUUCAAAGAAACCACCGGAAAUAAAUUGAUCUGAUUAUUCCUGGAUAGCUGCGUUACGCCAUAUUGUAAAUUGUUCCGCUUCCGGAAUUUAUAUCAGCCACUUCCUGUAGAAUUGAUGUCAAGCACCGCCCAGCGCAAGUACAUUGUACUACACACUUUUAUAAUUCUUUUCAGAAAGUCCUCACACGACACCGAUCCUGCUACAACUUUCCAGGCGUUAAUCAUAAUAGGAAUUGUUCGUGCUCUCAGUAACGGCUACACCGUGUUCGAUUUCUCUUGCCAUCUUCGGUCAUCCAAUGACGUCUAGCGUCAAUUGUCAGUCCUAAAGAUGCAGCCAAGAUUUUUUUUAACCAGACAAUAGCUUUUUUCCCCGGCUUUUUUUCACUGCCGCGCAAAGUGCCGGCGGAUUAGAAGCGCGAGCAAGGCAGCCGCCUCAGGCGGGGAAUUAUUGUCUCGUGCCUCACGCAGAGCACCAGGUCCCAAAGACCUGGGUCCCGAAGUCCCGGGGUCCUCCUCCCAAGCAUGGAAGCAUCGAAAUAGCGAAAAGGAAUUGCUGGUUCCUAAAGAAGAAAAUAACACAGCCUGGCCAUUCCCAAAAGGGUUGUACUUUUUGGAGUAUUUACUAAGGUGGAGGAGUAAGGAACGAGUUAUUGACUCGUUCGAUCCUGGGUUACGCCCCGACCUACCUUAACUUUAACAUAGUAUCCUGCCACGAGGGUCCGACCCACGACGCCGAGAGUAUCGGAUCUCUUCUAGGAGACUUUGAAAUUUUUAUUCCGACUGAAAUUCCACGAAGAAAGUCAAUAUCCGAACAGCGUCGAACAAUCGGAACACGAUAAAUUGCUGGCUUCGUUAGUGAAAUCAACGCAUCGGUACCGGCGGCGUUAAAUCGCUUUCAUCGGCAAGCAGAGCUCAGGAACUCGGAGCAGAUAGGAGCGACAGAGAAG